rnacentral:lncRNA from 1 species
UUAUGUUAGUAGUACCAUAUACUCUUGCUUUAAAAACCGUUUUACAAGCAUAGUGGGAGUAUUAUAUACAACUAUAUCAAUCACAUGGACUAAUAGUUGUAAUAGGACCAAAUUGUUUUAAUAAGAUUAAAAUGCAUGCUUAUAUGUGAUGAGACCUAAAACCCUCAACCAAACCAUUAUUAAGUUGAUAAGCGUGAAAGUGCUUUGAACACUCUUUCGUGGCCUUCCACCGUGGUAGGCUCCGAUCGUUUGUGACUCGUACACCGACUUCACCCUAUCAUGGGGGAGUACAAAGUGCAUGCUUACACUCAGGAGGAGUUCUAUAUGCAUACAUGAUGUUGUGAAGGUAGGCAAUGAGAAUGACCAACAUCAUAUCAUUGUGAGGUUGUUCUUGAACCCCUACUCGAACUUGCAUGGUGGGAAUAACUUAACUAAGUGCAAUGAAGCCAACAUCAUAUCAUUGUGAGGCUUCAUUCUCUAGAGGCCAAAUAAGAUGGGUACUUGCAAGAGAUGCAAAUGAGUAAGCGUACUCUUUCAUUAUUAUUGAUGCUAGCCAACAUCAUAUCAUUGUGAGGUGGGCUUGGUAAUGAUGAGUCUCCCAUACCCUACUAAGAGUUUCCUCCAAAACUCUCGAAUUCCGAUGAGGGAUAUGGAAUUUGCCAAAAAUAGUGGGUGGUGCUAUUUGAUUUAAAGACCCGGAUCAAAUGGCUUAAAAUCAAUUUAUAUUCGUUAUGUAUUUGUUUACCAAUAUAUUUGCAAACGCUAUCCAAAAACUUGACAAAGAAAGCCGAAAGCUUUAGUUUCUGGACUUGGUACUACAAUCUCAUAGAUUGUCUAUAAUGGCUUGUAUAUGUACCUAAGUAAUCUCAUCCUCACAAUCUUCCUAUUGAUAAUGUAUCAUUGGAAGAAUAUGUUAGAUAAGUCUAUCAUAAAGAGGACAACACUUUUAAUGUCAUAAAUCUUCAAUUACAAAUUGUUGUAUGAAGAAAUAAGAGUUGCUUUGAACAACUUUUAGCUAACGCAAACAUUAGUGCUUGUUUCUUUGUUACAUGAACAAGGAACUUAAGAAGUAAGCACAAGGACAUGGACACUUUGUGUGCCAUGAUUCUUCACUUACAAAUUGUUGUAUGAAGAAAUGAGAGUUGCCUUGAACAACUCUUGAAAGUUUGUAAUUAUGUUUAGAACAUAAUGGUUGGUUGACAAAAAUAGUCCAUCAACAUGGACUUAUGAUGAUUUUGAAUCAUUGAGUGUUGAAGAGUUAAACCACUUCUAGAGACGGAAACUAGGCAAGGACUUCACCUUUGUGUCCCUAUCCAAACGGUUCACUAAGUUUAUUGUAAACUAUAUAGUGAACAAUAACCACACGCUCUUCAAAUCGUUUGAUGUGUAUAACACAAUUGAAAUAAGUUUCAAAAGAGAUAAUGGGAGUUUAGGGACCAUGACUAUUAUAGUCAAAGGAUAAGUCAAAUGAAGAAGGGGAAAUAACUCCAAGGGAACAAACUUUCUUUAUGAAAGGAUGGACAUUGGAAGGGGUAUUUGCAAGAAAUGUCUUGCAAGUGUCAACAACACACCUUUCGAAGGUGUUGUAAAUUGUUCUUGAAAAGUUCAAAACAGUUGGUUCUUUUACUUGAAUGCUUGAUUCCGUAUUAGUAACUAUGUUUUACAAUCGUUGUAAAAGUGUGGCUAAUAAGAAGUAGAAGGUUAAUGAGAGAAGAGAAAGUACUUCACAUUCGGAACGUGAAUCAAAUGUAGAUCUCUGCGAAAGCAGAUCGUACUUACUUCCUCAUAUGAACUACCAAAGAAAUUAGAAAAACCAAAGAUUGAAUUAGAAAAACCAAAGAAAUUAGAAAAACCAAAGAUUGUCUUUACAUUCCAAUUUUAAGGAACUUAAUUCCAUCACUAUGAGAGAUGGAUGAAUGUUUUGUUUGACAAAACAUUGUUCUUUAUUAAUGAAUGAUUAGAUUAUUGUAAUCUAAUUGAUUAUCUCUAUAGUAGAGAUGAUAUGGUAGUGUUAACUGUUUAGAAUAUAACGAUGCUUAAAACCCAAAAGGUUGCAAGGUAGUGACUAAUCCCAACUGAGUUGUGAUACCUCUAAAACAUAAAUUACGAGUUGGUCAUAGAUGGAUGCUUUGGAUCGUUAGAUCCGGAUCCAAGGCCUUCUUGUUAAAAUUGUAUAAAGGCAAAAUGUUUGAAUCUUUAUUCUUUUGGAAAGGAAGAAAGAAUCACAAAGUUGUUAAGGUUAAUUCACUUAGAUGUUGGUGGCACUUGUCCACAACAUAAUACUACUCAUGUUGUAUGACAUUCACCGAAGAUCGCUCUCGGUUGGACUAUCAUUUAUUGUGAAUAAACACAAGUCCGAAUACUUUGCAAAAGGUUUCAAAGAAUUCAAGAAAUGUAAGUUGAUGAGUAAGAUGUCUAAAGUAUUUACCUCCUUAGAUUUGAUCCAAGGAAAGGUAACACUUUAGAACAGUUUCCUUGAAAGAUAUCAAUGAAAGAAGCAUCAUAUGAUAAUGGAUUUCUCCAUUAAGAGAAGAACGAACUCGAAUAAGAUUUAGUUCGUUGGAUGUUAUCAAUUACCCAUAUAUAUAGGAAAUAUACUUCUAAGACAAUAUGAUUGUCAAUUAGAAGAUCUUCCAAAAUUUUCAUGACUCCAUAGGAUGUAGUUGGAGAGAAAGACAAAUCUUAAUCAUGUUAAAAUUUGGGGUUGUGUGCUAAUAAGCAAUAUUUGUUUGAGAAUUAUCUUGUGAAUAUCCUUAAAUUAACCUUUGGGUAUCACUUCUACAAACCAACUAACAAAUGUUGUUUUGUUGGGUAGUUCAUUGUAAUCCUACAAUAUGAUUUGCCUAAGCGCAAAUGAACGAGAGAUAGAACUCAAAGAAUGGGUUCUUUGAGAGACAAGAUGAUAAUCAACAAAUAUAACAACCUAGUUUCUACACCACAAGCUCCAAGGUAGUCGAGAAGGAUUUAUAAACUGUCUCAGUUGAAUGGUUUGAACUUUAUGACUAUGUCAUAAAGUUACACCUCUUAAUUCGAAAGAAAUAAAAAUGAAAAUCCUUAUGACUACAUUGAGUGUAUAUACGACAUAUACUAGAGGAAAUGGUAAAAUACCAUUUGACCCGAAAUAAUGAAACCUUCAUAGCUAAUUGUUAGCUUAAGGUGACUACAAUCAAAGAGAAUGGUUGACUUGGAAGAAACCAUCUUUGACGUGGUCUUGGUUUCAAUUAAUUCAAAGAUUGUUAGCUACAAUUAAAUGGUGAUUCAAUGUUUGGACAUAAUAUGGGUUUCCGAAACCAUUAUUAAGAUAGUCUUGAUAAUAUAUGUCUAAAACUAUGAAUCACAAGACAUGUAAGUUAUAGAGAUUCAUCCAUCAUGGAUCUUGGCAAGCUAGUGGGAGCUAUAAGCGUCUUAUGAGAGAAAGAUCAAAUCAAUUGAUUUUCCAUAAAGAUGUAAAUAAAUCUUUUGUUUACUAAGUUUACAAAAGAUUAGUGGGAGUUAAUCAUGUUCCUAAAAUUUAACACAUAUAUGAUAUAUUAAUUUUGGAAAUGAAAAGAAUACUUCUUCGUUAAAGUUAUGACUUUAAACAUUCUAU